UCUUUUUCUAACAAAUAAUUUCAUAGGUUUAUUUUAUUCAUAAAUUUCAUCGUCAAAAUUACCAUUUAUCUUCUCUCUUAUUUUCUCAAAAGUACUAUACAUGACAUGAACUAGAGUUUUAUAAUCCAAUCUUUCAACCAUUAAAACUUGUAACUAAUGCUUCAAACUACUCAUAAUAAAUAAGUUUGAAGUAUUGAAAUUAUCUCUAGUAGCUCAAUCUUGAAAAAUCACAACUUUAGUGAUUUUAAUGUUCCUGAGGAUUUGAUGAUGAAAUCUAGCAUUUAGAUGGAAAAAUGAUGUUAGAACUCUUGUUUUAUAAUGAGUAAGAAUCAACCCAAAACAAUAUUAACAACUUAUCUUGGUUGAUAAGACUUGAUUAGAGCUUAAAAUCACCCUUUCAUCUCAAGAACCCUAACAUCCAAUACUCAAAAUACUCUUUCCUCCGACGUGAUAUUUAUAGGCCCGAAUUUCUGGGUUUCGGACGCGUCCUUGGAUAUAUGGCAACACUUCACUGCCAGCCAUUUUUUCGGACACGGCCCGGAUGUUUCGCAUCCGCAGACUCCUCCGCUAGUGUAAUCUGGUCAUAACUUCUUGUAGGAAUAUCCAGAUAACAAAUGGUUUGAAGUAUUAAAAAUUUGACUCGAAGAUCUUUCAUUUUAUAGGUUGUCCA
rnacentral:lncRNA from 1 species